rnacentral:rRNA from 1 species
UACGUAGGGUGCGAGCGUUGUCCGGAAUUAUUGGGCGUAAAGCGCACGUAGGCGGCUUUGUAAGUUGGAUGUGAAAUCCCUCGGCUCAACCAAGGAAGUGCAUCCAAAACUACAGAGCUUGAGUACUUAAGAGGAUCGCGGAAUUCCCGGUGUAGAGGUGAAAUUCGUAGAUAUCGGGAGGAACACCAGUGGCGAAGGCGGCGAUCUGGGAAGAUACUGACGCUGAGGAGCGAAAGCAUGGGGAGCGAACAGG